GCUUGUCUCAAAGAUUAAGCCAUGCAUGUCUAAGUAUAAGCAAACUUGUACUGUGAAACUGCGAAUGGCUCAUUAUAUCAGUUAUAGUCUACUCGAUAGUACCUUACUACUUGGAUAACCGUAGUAAUUCUAGAGCUAAUACAUGCAUCAAACCCCGACUCACGAAGGGGUGUAUUUAUUAGAUGGAAACCAAUGCGGGGCAACCCGGUAUAUGGUGAUUCAUAAUAACUUUCGGAUCGAUCUUCGGAUCGAUGCAUCAUUCAAGUUUCUGCCCUAUCAGCUUUGGAUGGUAGGGUAUUGGCCUACCAUGGCUUUAACGGGUAACGGAGAAUUAGGGUUCGAUUCCGGAGAGGGAGCCUGAGAAAUGGCUACCACAUCCAAGGAAGGCAGCAGG
rnacentral:rRNA from 1 species